rnacentral:lncRNA from 1 species
CUAUAGUAUACUUACUGCAAUGAAAACGUUUAAAAAUACAUCGACAACUGGAUCAUAAUUUGGUGUUGACACAUUUACCAUAACACCAUAUAAUAAAGUAUGCCUAAAAUGACUCAUGGGUAUGGAAGGUUGUGCAGAGCAUCCUCCAAGAGGAUGGGUUUUGGUGUAAAAACUGACCAGCAGGUGGAGAACUAGUAUGGAAGUGUCUCGCCGUUGCUUGGCAACGCAAGUUCUGACAGUUGGCUCUUGGGUAGCUAGCUAGCAGAGUUGUUUACUUGCGACGUUUAAUUUUCUCUGGCUAAAUUAGCCCAGCAUAGUUAUUCAAUUCAGUUAUCUAGGUUGCCAUACACGAGGUGUUAUCCAUGGGCAGCCUUGCCAGUGAGGUUUUGGAUGAGGCCCACUGUUUCUGGGCGACGUGCGCUCAUCCUUGCUGCUGGGAGUCGGAGCAGCGCAUUGCCAAAGGCGUCCCACACUACAUAAAGCAAAGAACAUCAGAUGGGGGCAGAGCCCCUGUAGAUGUGGAAGAGUUUCCAACCCUUAGUGUGGUUAAUGUAUCGGAGUCGACUGAGGGCCAAAAGACCCCUAAAGUGAAGCUGCUUUACAAGACGCUUAGCAAGAAGAAUUUUGCCACAGAUGCCUCUCUAACUCUUCUCUCCAGCCAGACACAAGCCCACCAGCGGGAGCAUAACACAAGUGCAGAUCUUCACGUUCCAGGGUUAAACUCUGUUGACCAUAGUCCUCGUAAUAAACAACACAAGGAAGUAAAGCUCAACACAGCUCAGAUCAAUCAGUUGGCCAGCUGUUCCAGUGCAUCAUGGGGCUCUGGCUCCGUAGUGAUGUGGGUACCCAAUCCCCAACACAUCCCGCAGUGCCAAGCCCGAAACAGGCCUAAAUCUCCCUAUGUACCUGUCAAGGAGCUCAUUUGCCUUCCGUCCUUAAAAACCUCAAAAAUUAACAGAAAUCCAAGAAUUCAAGUCCAAGAGUCCAAGAAUGUGCGGAAGAGGGUGCCGUUCCAGCUGACAACAUUGACGUCAAAGCCGAAAAGUGAGCAUGGGUUGAGCUCCCCAGUGGCACAGCAAACUGUCCACCCAACAGACCUUGCCCUGGCCAAACCUGACACAGACACUGACCCCAACAGGGAGGAGGAGGAGGCCCAGACCCAGGCUCAUACCAGCCCACACCCUCCCCCAGCACCUAGGAUCCCCAGUGCUUUCCUCCUCAGGAACAAGCCUGUGGUGUUCCACAGUGUCAGGGAGAGGGUACUGAGAAGACACACCCAGCAGGACCUCUCAACGUACAAGUACAAACUGGACAGCAAGAAUGGUGGGGGUGGCAUUGACUGGGAUAGUCUGAGAAGACAGACCUAUCUGUGGAGGAAGCACAACCUUCCACCCAACUGUGACAGAGAGAAGCCAUUUCCCCCAGAGGACAUGACUGUCAGCCAGAAAGGCUUUGGUUUCUACCCCAUCCCAAAGGCCAUGCUCCAUCACGACCCAAGGAGCCCUCUGUCCAAAGGUCCAGCUGUGUGGCGCUGCCUGGAAUGUGUGGAUGGGAUGUGGUGUGGCCAUGGUGGUGGUCCACUAGCCUCCAUAUCCAAGUGCCUUAACUCAUUGGUGUCAAAGAGUUCCUUCAAGUUCUGUAGCAGAUCCAACCUCAGCUGUCAAAACCCCUUGCACCAACUCCUAGAUGGAGAUUACCUAAGUGAUGUGAAUCCAGGCAACAAGGGCACCAUCGCUCCUCAGAACUCCAUGAUGCACCUUCAGGACACAGCUUCACACUACAGUGACUGUCAAGGAGAGGAUAAUGAAUUUGGCUUAUGCUCAGAGAGAGAUGCUGAAGGAGGUCUAGGAGCCCUAGAGAGGCCGGGUAGGAGCUCUUAGGACAAAGGGCACAGGCCUUCAGGGUCCCAGCCAUCCCCUCCACCAUCUAUCGUCAACUCCGAUACCUGUGGAGAUGGUUAAACUUGAAUAUGACGAGACAGACACUGAACGAUCCAGGACUAAGAUCCAGGAGUAAAUGUACUCAUCAUGCCUGUGAACAUUCACAUAUUUCAUCCAGAGCUAUCCUUAUGCUUUAGAUAAAUACAUCUGGUAGCUUGCUUUUUUUUCAUGUCAAGUAUAGCCUAACAUGGUAAUGUAACAAUAUACUCUAAGUGUACAAAACAUUAAGGACACUUGCUCUUUCCAUGUCAUAGACUGGCCAGGUGAAUCCAGGUCAAAGCUAUGAUUCCUUAUUGAUGUCACUUGUUAAAUCCACUUCAAUCAGUGUAGAUGAAAUGGGAGGAGACAGGUUAAAGAAUGAUUGUUAAGCCUUGAGACAAUAUAGAAAUGGAUUGUGUAUGUGUGCCAUUCAGAUGGUGAAUGGGCAAGAUAAAAGAUUUAAGUGCCUUUGAACAGGGUAUGGUAGUAGGUGCUAGGCACAGCGGUUUGUGUCAAGAACUCAACAGUUUUGUGUAUCAAGAAUGGUCCACCACCCAAAGGACAUCCAGCCAACUUGACACAACUGUGGGAAGCAUUGGAGUCAAUAUGGGCCAGCAUCCCUGUGAAACGCUUUCGACACGUUGUAAAGUCCAUGCCCCGACGAAGUGAGGCUGUUCUGAGGGCAAAAGCGGGGGUGUAACUCAAUAUUAGGAAGGUGUCCUUAAUUUAAUGUUUUGUCCACUCAGUGUAUGUUAACUUACAUGAUUUAUACUGCCUAAUCCUUAUUCAACAAUCAAUCAACAAUUCUUAUUCAGUUAUGUCAUGAUUCAGUAUUUGAUUAUUUGACAUUAGUCAGCUUCAUGGUAGCCUUGCAUAUCAGGAUUGUAGGUGCUUCUCACCACAGGGUUUACGUAGAGUCCACCACCUUCAUGGUUAUAAGAGGGCACCAGGUGUCACUGUAGAGUCAUCGAGGAAAUUCCCAAUUUGUCUGUUUUGAUCAGUUGCCAUUGCCAACCUCUAAAUAUUUCACUUUAAAACAUAGUUAAAAUGUGUUUUUAUUAUGAUAAAAUCGUCUACAAAAGAUAAACUUGGUUCCACAUAUUUUGGGAGCUCUGUCACAACCGUGGCUCCUGUCCGUCCAGCAGCCCAAAUAUAUACAUUCGCCAUGACAACUGAAAGAAGGGGCUCUGGGGUUGGAUCACAUCAUAGGGCUAGGGCUAUGGUUCAGUCAGUUUGUUUAUGGAAUAGUUGAUGGUACCCCCUCGACUCUCCAGCUGCGCUCAUUUCCGCUCUCUGUCCUUGGCCUAAUUAUGACUGCAGCAGCAGUCAGUGGUUUAUAAUGUAGCAGAGGAUGUGAAGGCCAGUGUUGGGUGCAGGAGGUUAGGCUAGCAGUGCUACUGCUAGUGGAGUAGACGCCCAGGAGAGGUUUCCUGCUGCUCUGCCAGGUGCUCCUCCUAUGAGGGCCUCACAGUAACAGUACUUAUUAAGCACUGACUCUCACUGUAACAAAGCUGGGUUGAGGAAAGAACUGGCUGAACUGAACCUGUCUGAUGCCCUCUUUUACUUAAAUUAUCUCUGUAAAAGGCAAGGUUUUAAAAGCAGAAAGUACUACAAGUUAUAAUAGUGAUGUGUUCAACAUGUUUCUCUCUUACUCCCUUAACCCCAGAGCAUCUCCUAUCAGGGAAAGGCCUCUUUCUGCGGCAUAUACAUUAUUGUAUAGAUUUGAUUUCGUAUUUUUUCCUAUCGUAAAGGUCCUGUUUUGAUUCAAUUCACCAGGGCAGUGGUGGAAAACGUACCCAAUUGUCAUACUUGAGUAAAAGUAAAGAUGCCUUAAUAGAAAAUGACUCAAGUAAAAGUGAAAGUCAUCCAGUAAAGUACUACUUGAGUGAAAGUCUCAAAGUAUUUGGUUUUAAAUAUACUUAUGUGUCAAAAGUAAAUGUAAUUGCAAAAAUAUACUUAAGCAUCAAAAGUAAAAAGUAAAAGUAUAAAUAAUUUCAAAUUGUUUAUUAAGCAAACAAAAAGGCACAUUUUAGAUUUUUAUUUUUUAAUGGAUAGCCUGGGGCACGCUCCAACACUCAGACAUAAUUUACAAACAAAGCAUUUGUGUUUAGUGAGUCCGCCAGAUCAGAGGCAGUAGUAAUGAUCAGGGAUGUUCCCUUGCUAAGUGCGUGAAUUGGACCAUUUCCUGUCCUGUUAGCCAUGCAAAAUGUAAUGAGAACUUUUGGGUGUCAGGAUAAAUGUAUGGAGUAAAAAGUACGUUGUUUUCUUUAGGAAUGUAGUAAAGUAAAAGUUGUCAAAAAUAUAAAUAGUGAAGUCAAUUACAGAUACCCAAAACAACUACUUAAGUAGUACUUCAAAGUAUUUUUACUUAAGUAUUUUACACCACUGCACCAGGGUAUAAAGAAGCCAUUGAUUAGGAAUGACCUCAAGUAAGUUGAAUGUCAGAGCAAACAAACUGGCCUAUUUUUAGGUGGCAUAACACUGAAUAUUGGUCGUUAGGUAUUAGUGCCUGCUGCAAGCUGCUGGAUAACAAAGUAUCUAACUACUUAAAGAAAGUAUUGCUUAAUGCUCUGAACUAUGAUAGUGGAGUGUGAAUAUCCAGUAGGCCUGACUCCCUUACCUGGACAUGCAUAGCUGUUUUAUCAUCAGCUGUAGAUUGCAUGAAAUAUCAAGUGUAUGGUGUGUUACAUUUUCUAGGCUAUUACCAGCCUAGUGGCCCAUUCAGUCACAGUAAGCUUUAUGUGUUUGUGUCACCAUCCCUGUUGGAUAACCCUAGAACUUUCUGUUUACAGCUCUUUGCGAUAAAAUGUUCCCCUCUGAAUCAUAGGCACCACUGUGUAAUGGUGCCACACAGCCCGUUCCCGUCUCACCUCCCCACUAACAGGACACUCUCUGUCAGGCAGCUACACCAGCAACUCCCACACUAAAGUCCCUUUGAAAUGCAAGUUAGAUUUUUUUGGUGUACUUAGUUUAAUAUGCAGUGUGCAGUUUAAGAACCCUCAGAUUCACUGGAGCAAAAAGCAGUGUCAGUAGGUAUGGUUGCCUUGGCCCAUAAUCUGUUUGUCUGAUUACAUUUUUGGAUUGGGAGGAGAAUCAAAGUAUUUUCAAUUGAUGUAGGCUAUAAGUAGCCACAGUGUAUUAGGUAAAAGGAAGGAUUCAUUUUGAAAUGGACUGUGUGUAGGUGGUCUGGAUUCUCAGUUACAGUAGAUGGUUUAUAAUGAAUAUCUUGUCACAGCCUAGUAGUUCUGUCCUGGGAUUCUAUUUUUGUUUCCAUGCAUUGCGUUUGUAUUGUGCCUGGCUAUCAUGCAAUUAUUCCAAAACUCCUAACCUUGUGUAGGUUGGGUGUGCUUCACAAUAUCAAGUGAUUCAGCAGUAGUUUUGGGUUACAGCAUGGGCUGACUGAUUACAGUGGGCAUGCAUACCUCUCCUCUCUCAGAGAAGGUGUGUCUGUCUCUCUGUACCUGACUAUAGCACACCUGCUCAUGUCAGUCAGGCACACAAUGGACAGGUUGUUGCAGUGCUGUGGAGAGCUCUGCUGAGGGGGUCUCUUCUCCUGGCUGCUUUCAUCACUCCUAUUAGGCUGGGUGAAGGAAUGCACAGGCCACGGGUUCCCUCUGCUCUCCUGCUUGGGUAAAUGAGGCCCUUUUGUCUCUUAAUGGGUGCAGGAGAGCCACACCUGCAUUAGGCUAGCACAGGUCUACUUAUCAUGCUCUGCCCUGGGGCCUCAUGGAGGAGAGUACUGGAGGAGAGAUGCACAGAUGUCUACCCCCAGUCGUGGAUCCAUACGCCCAAUGACCGGGCCCCCUGACAUCACCCUUUUCACAGCUGUCUUGCUCAACUGCCUUACAGGAAUGUACAAAAUGUAACGUAUUUAAAGAAUUGUUGUAUAAUCGGUAUUCUCUCUCAUACAUGUACAAUUAUGGGCAUUUAGCAAACAAACAAGCACUCUUUGAUUGGACCAUUUGAAGGGUUACUGAUGAUUGAGUGUGUGAGUGUACCAGCCAAGGUUUUUAGGACGUUAGUGUGAGGAAUUCAGUGGAAGCCUGACCUAUAGAGGGGGUGUCAUGAGUUGGGCUAGGGUGCAUCACACGUACACAGCUGAUUCUACACUAGGACUCUCAUUAUACAGUACACCAGUCUGAUAAAGUUGACUUGAUGAAACUGUCUGUUUGCAAUGAUACUGUAUGGAAUACUUACACCCACAAACCCAGUUACACUGAUUUAUGUGUUCAGGGCAGGUCUGUUUGGAUUACUGACUGUCAGUCUUUAGGGCAUUAGAACACCUCUUCCUGAGUGUUAUGUAGAUACUGUAGACUUCCUGUUUACCCACUUCUUCACCAAUGAUACUUGAGUAUACCCAUCAUCAUUGGCCCUUCUCGGCACUACGCAGGGUACUUACAGGCAUCAGGGCUGCCAACAAUAUCAACAUUUCCACAGACCAUUAUCUUCAGACUGGAGGUGGCGGUCUGCCCAUGUCUAUAAGUACAGGCACUACAGAGGGAAUCUCUAUAUGAAGUGGAGCUAACCCAGCUGAGCAGUGCUGACCCAUGCUGAGCAAAGACACUGCAGGAGGGCAAAGAAACACUAGACUGGUGUACCUUUUAGUGCACUCAAACAGAUGAAGGAAUAAGUGAACUGACAGACACUUCUCUCCUCUGGACUCAGGUGCAGGCUCUGGACAGUAUAUCUUCACAGACACUAGGUAUCUAAUCUAGAAUCUAACGACCUCUAGGACGGAAUCUUUAUCUCUAAUUUAAAUUGUGUAAUCUACGCCUUCGGGAUGUUUUCUCUGGUUAGUUUGAGACGGACCGUCUCCACACUGUUCGUUCUCCUCUCCAGUGCUGCUGUCAUGGUGGAGAGUGACUGUCCUACCCAGUGCUCCUGUGGUCCCUCACCGCAAUCGUGCCCAGCGGGCAUUAGUUGGGUGACAGACGCCUGUGGCUGCUGUAAGGUGUGUGCCAGGCAGUUCAACCAGGACUGCAGCCCCAGCCAGCCCUGUGACCACAUCAAGGGCCUGCACUGCCACCUGGGGGCUGGGGGAGACCCAGAGAGAGGCCUGUGCCGAGCGGAGGCCCAGGGCCGGCCCUGUGAGUUCAACGGGCGUGUCUACCAGCAUGGAGAGGACUUCCAGCCCAGCUGCCAGCACCAGUGCAGCUGCAUGGAUGGGGUGGUGGGCUGUAUGCCACUCUGUCCCCAGCAGGUGCCCUUGCCCAACUGGCGCUGCUCCCAGCCAAGGCUGGCACGGCCCUGGGACCGCUGCUGUCAGGAGUGGGUGUGUGAUGACAAAAACCACAUCAGUGAGGACCCAGAGGAACUUCCACAGGCAGCCCUACCUGACCCACAACCCCUCCAAAACCACAUCAACAACCAGCUCCAGGCCCAAGCCCUGGCCCAGCCACGCUAUCAGGCCAGCACUGGAGUCACCUUUAGAGAGUUGGUGUCCCUCCCCAGCGCCAGAUGCUUCCCUCAGACCACUGAUUGGACGGAAUGUUCCACCACGUGCGGGAUGGGCAUCUCAAGCCGGGUGACCAAUAACAACGCAGAGUGUCGGCUGGUCAGAGAGACACGACUCUGUCAGGUCCGCCAAUGUGACCUGCAGCUUACCCCAGCAAUCAAGGGUAAAGAAGUGCCAGCGUACAGUGCGCCCCCAGGAGCCAAUCAGGAUCAACUUUGCUGGCUGCUCCACAACACGCCGCCAUCGGCCUCACACCUGUGGCUCCUGUGCGGACGGGCGAUGCUGCACCCCUUCACUGACCCGCACCGUCCGCCUGCGCUUCCAAUGUCCCGACGGAGAGGGCUUCACACGCAACGUCAUGUGGAUCCAGAGCUGCAGCUGCAAGAAGAGCUGCCACAAUCACAGUUCCCCCUCAAGGCCCUCUGUCAGCCUGCACAAUGACAUCCACAACUUCAGGCACUGAGGCAGGCUUAGGAGGAUGCCCAACCCUAGCCUCAACACACUAGACAGGGCUAGUGCAUGCUAACCUCUCCCCAUCUUCCACCCACCCUCUGCCCAGGGAUAGCCCUGCCUUUCAGUCCCUUCCUGGACACCAGCCUCUCCCUCCUGCACCAGCGCCAGACUAUGGGAGAGAGAGCCUCGGCUAGGUGGCCGCUCCAUCCAACCAGGCAGAACUAUCGCUUGCACUUUAAGCUUCCUAACACGUUGCCACAAGUUAUCAGACAUGAGAGAUGUGGAGCAACUGCUCUCCACAGCCAGGUCCAGUGUCCCUUCCCUGUUGAUCACACAGUUACAGAACUGUUCUGGUGGAGGGGGGGACAGCACUGAGCACAACAGACUAUGGAUGGCCUGAUGUCACUUUCUUGAUGUCAUUUUGAACUUGUAAAUGAAUCAGUUUGGUUGUCUGCUUUUCCCCCUCAUUAUUUAUAAUGUUUAUUUGUUAACAUUGUCAAGUUCCUCUAUAACCACAGAGGAACAAGGGAAAAGGAAUGUAUAUGUAUGUAUGUGAAAGACAUAACUUUUUGUCAUAAUAGAAAUAGUAAAGUAAAUUAGUGAGGCCAGUGAAUGUGUAAGGAUGUGAUGAGUGACGACCAUGGGCAAUCUCAUACAUUCAUGAAGUGUUUUGUCUGAUAAAUCGAUGGUAGAAAGAGGACAGGAUAUCAUUCUACAAAUUCAUCAAUGAUUGUAAUUAACUGUAUAUUACAUUGUGUAAAGUUCAGUGUUUAUGUGUGUGAGAGAAUGAAAGGGCGAGAAACAGAGUGUUUACAUGUGUGUAUUUGUGUCAUAUGACAGAGUAUAGUGUACAGACUUCACUCUUAGUGGAGUGGCAAUUGAUGGAGAUCACCUCAUUUUCCGGGGUGUGUUUUUAUUGCCUCAUAGUAUAGAGACUUGUACUGGAGGGAAGAUUGUAUUUGAUAUAUUUAAGAUUUCUAUAUUGUUUGAAUUCUUAUCAUUAAUACUCAGAAAAAUGUAAUAAAAACAUUCAACACGUG